rnacentral:rRNA from 1 species
UACGUAGGGGGCGAGCGUUGUCCGGAUUCAUUGGGCGUAAAGCGCUUUAAGGCGGUUCGGUAAGUCGGGUGUGAAACCUCCAGGCUCAACCUGGAGACGCCACUCGAUACUGCUGUGACUAGAGUUCGGUAGGGGAUCACGGAAUUCCUGGUGUAGCGGUGAAAUGCGCAGAUAUCAGGAGGAACACCAGCGGCGAAGGCGGCGUCCUGGACUGGGCCUGACGCUCAGGAGCGAAAGCGUGGGGAGCGAUCCGG